rnacentral:miRNA from 1 species
CGGAGGACUUGGGGCUGGUCACGCUGCGGCCAGCAACUGAAGCUGGAGGGGUUCUGUCCAGACCAGGAGCAGGGAGCGCGGGGCUGCUGGGG